AUUGAACGCUGGCGGCAGGCCUAACACAUGCAAGUCGAGCGGAGCGGCGGACGGGUGAGUAAUGCCUAGGAAUCUGCCUGGUAGAGGGGGAUAACGUCCGGAAACGGGCGCUAAUACCGCAUACUAUCAGAUGAGCCUAGGUAGGAAUAGCUAUGUGGGGGGGUAAAGGACGACCAAGGCGCCAAUCCGUAACUGGUAGGAGAGGAUGAUCAGUCCCACAGGAACUGAGACACGGUCCAGACUCCUACGGGAGGCAGCAGUGGGGAAUAUUGGACAAUGGGCGAAAGCCUGAUCCAUCCAUGCCGCGGUUGUGAAGAAGGUCUUCGGACUGUAAAGCACUUUAAGUUGGGAGGCGUUACCAACAGAAUAAGCACCGGCUAACUUCGUGCCAGCAGCCGCGGUAAUUC
rnacentral:rRNA from 1 species